rnacentral:lncRNA from 1 species
GGAGGAGUUAUAACAUAUCUCCCCUCCUUGAAAAAUGAUACUUUUAAUGAUAACCCUAAAGAGCAUCAGUGAAAAUUAAAUUUAUAAUAUCCACUUACAUAUUAAGUAUGUUUAAAAUGUUGUAAUUCUUUUGUAAUUGAUAAUCUAUUUGUAGUAUCUAUAGACCGAUGUACCAAGGCAGUAAAACAUCACAAUUUAACUUUUAUACUUUUUUAUUUUCUUGGAAUACAAUGUACAUGUCCCCAUAGAAAUGUUUAAACAGUAGUUAGUGACUGAUUUCAGACAAAAAAAAAUGCUAUUAAUUCAUUUACUUAGGAGUUCAGAAGAGGUAAGGUAUGCUGAGGAACUCUCUCACAUUCAAGCACACACACACACACACACACACGCGCACACACACACACCUGUGGAAUAAGCAUCUCUCACUCCCCUUUAUGCUGAAUGAACUUGCCAAGGGCUUCCGUUGGUAGUGGCCAUUACAGAUGUCCUCUUAUGCUGGAUUUGGAACAGGACAUGAGAGGAGAGUCAGGCUUGGACUGGCACAGGAAAUGAGGAUUCUGCCAAAGUAAGAGGGGAUCCGGGUGCCCUCUGAAGAGCUGAGACUCAGUGCCUUGUCAGAAGGGCUUCUCGUGGGCUCAAGGGAGAAAGGGAGAAGGGCUAAGAUUUCCAUGAGAUGGAUGAGAGAGGGCCUUCAGAUCCCAGGACUCUUAACAUGGAGGAUGUUCACUAAAGGGUAGGGAAACGGGGCUCUCAAAACACCGGAACCAACUUGUAGCAGCUGCUUGAUCUAACAUGGAAAUAGCAGCUCAGACAUUUUCAUUGCUAGACAUUCUGAAGAAAUAUGAAAUUUUCUGAAUAUUAAGAGACCCCAUCAUCACCUCUGUAUUCAAAAUGUCUUUUCAUUUAUGCUGUCAGAAGAUGAUUAGAAAUAAAAUUUGAAGUGAAACCGUACACAAUUUUUACCUAGAUUUAUCAUCCUUCUUUGAAAAAUAUUCUUGACUAUAUUCGUUACUCUGAGCCUUUUCAACAUUCUGUUUUGUACAAUUCAAUCAUACUAUUGAAUAAUAAUGUGAUAAUAUGUGAAAUUUACUAUUUUUUGGAUUAUCUAUCUAACUUUUUCUACUCUAAUGUAAUACAAUUCUGUUUGGUUAUUUAAUAUCACCACUUGCUCACUCAUUACCUGUUCAUUGGGAUUGUUUACAGGUAAUAUUUAAGACGUAGAAGCAGAAGACAAUGCUACAAUGUAGGACAAUAAAAAUACUAUUUCAAAUGUGUCAUCUCUAUACUGGCCCCAAAAGAGGAAUGGUACGUUUAACGGAAGAGAAUUAUAUUACAAAUCAUGCUUAAAUAAUAAAAGCCAUCAUUUAAGAAAGAGUCUCCUCCAGAACUGUACUUAAAAUAAUUUAUUUGGGAUGCAAAAGUACUUUCAAUUGUCUCUAUUCAUCUUUACGGUCCUACCUUCAAGAGCUAGUUACAAAUCUCAUUCUGCAUUUUGUCAGCUACUUGAACCCAGCUCUCUCAUUUAUGAACUUGAACUUCAAUUCUAUAUUGUCAGAAUAGUGCAUUAUUACAGUGUUAGGAGUGUAUGUCUAUUUUAAUGGAAACUAUAUUUAUGAUUUCAAAUGAAAUCAAUUAUAAGUCCAAUAUAAAUCACAAAUUGAUUAAUGUGGUCUCUUGCCAGUUUAAGAGGCUUUUAAAGGCUCUGCUGCAGAUGGCUGACUGCAGUGUUUUGAUCCGUAGUUUUUUAGAAUUUUUGGAACAGUCAAAACUGGGUAUUAAUGUUCUGUGGCAAUGUUUUAGGCAUUUUACUAGGUAAAGGAUUCAAUAUCAGGAGGGAAUUACAUUCUGUUUACUAAUUUCUUUUCCUGUAAUAUUUUAGUAAGGUUAUCUUUACUGAAAAUAUGUCAUUUUUAUUACUAUUACUGCAUUACAUAUUUUCAUGAGUGUAACUUAGUUCAUGCCCCUUAUUUGAUUUUUCAAAGAGGAAAGAACAAGCUAGAUUUCUUGCUUUACUAGCCAUUAAUAGAACCUUAAACUUGAUCAUAAGUAAAAAUAGAUCAUUUUGUUAGAAUUAAUACAAUAAUCUCAAAGAUAUAAUUACUAUAAGUGGAAAUUAUAAUACUUAUUUUAUUUUAGCUUAAUUAGAAUUUAUGCCCUUGAAAAUAAAAUGUGAAAAAGCAAUAUAAAUAUAUUUUCUCUGAAUUUUUCCUUUACAACUAUAUAUAUCAAUCAUUAUACAUAUCAUCUAUACAUACACCUUGAUUAUUAAUGAGUCUAAUAUUUUUAACUUUAGCUCCUAGAGUCACCCACAGGAAGGAGAUCUUGAACCCUUUCAAUGAUACCCACUUCACUUUUACCAUAGUCCUUCACAUAGUGAUAUUUAAGCCUCUCAGUUUCCAUAAAGCAGUUGUAUAAAGAGAUCAGAUCUAUUUACAUGCUAUGUCUAGAUUGGCCAAAUUUUCUCAACUAAAAUGUAAAAGAGAGAGAGAGAUAGAAAGAUGGAAAAAGAGUAAGGGAAGGAAGGAAGGAUAAGAGAGAAGGGAUGGAAAUAGAAAGGAAGGGGGGAUAAUUUUACACAUAACUCGUAGGGUUUUCAUGAUAAUUUAAAAGAAUACGAAGAAUCAUUUAUUUUAGAAUGCCUUUAUUGUUUAUAGGAUUAAGCAUGUUAUGUAUCAGUUAGGAUCUAACCUCUUCCUACAAGGCCGUUUCCUUGAGUAACUAUGCACAUUUAAGUACCUGAUACAGUAGGAACUCAAUAAGUAGUAGACACCUCUACCAUUACUAUUAAAAAUGUACUGGUAAAAGUGUUUGAAAUGCAGUGUGAAUGAAGCUCUAAAAUUCUGCUAUUGAUGUCCUGUGGCCUGGCUUGCCUUAUUAUAUUCCAACCUUUGUUUACUAGUAAAUAGAUCAUCCCAAAUCAGUGCAAACAUGUACCUUCCUUAGCAGUAUUCUAGAACUACCUGAAAAAAAUCAGAAAAAUAUAAAGCUUUGGUUAGAUUAUUAAGAUGAAAUAAAACAUAGGAAAUAAUAUAGACAUUUAUAAAAUUUUAAUUUUUUUUUGUCUCAAAAGCAACUCAAGUAAAAUACCUAUUUGUGGAAGGACCUGACUGACCGUGGUUAGUUUGACCAAUGAUGGUAAUUACUUUACAGUGCAUAGUUAUUCAAGGAAAGAGCCUGGAGAAAGAGGUUAGAUCUCAACUGAUACACAAUAGGCUUAAUCUGAUCAGCAAUAUAGAAUUUUUUUAAGACCCUGAUCCCUCUUAAAUCUGGAGUUAGAGUAUUACUUCCUCAUUAUAGCUGACCUGACCAAAAAUUACUACUCAAAUCAAUUAGUGAAAAUAUUUUUGACAGAUAUUGUGAAAUUUCAUUAUACUGGGGAAUGGAGGAGGAGGGAGAAUGACUUCACUUGGAGGAAUAAAAGUACUGUCCUUCACAACGUCCAGAAGCACAGUUCUCCUUCUCUCCCAAAUGAACUAGCGUUGGUUAUUGGGAUCAUUCACUUGAACCGUAGCUGAGGUUCCUCCCUGGGAUUUCAAGACAUGUAAGUAUCUUAUAUGUGAAGCAAGAAUUCCGGUACAGUUACUUAGAUACUGUUAAUCACUAUAAUAUCUUUCAUCUUGCAGCCUUAUCUGGAUAGAUAUGCAACCGUUUGCAUUUUCAAUGAACUUCCAAUUUCUAGUGAUUUGGCACAACAGGAAUUGAUUAUAAACUGAACAGGAUAAAAUGGCUGCCUACCUAAUUAUGGAGAUUCCAAAAGUUCUGUAUUUUAAUUGUCAUAAUAGGCAAGAAUUCAGAAGAAACUGUCAUCUUGUAAGUUAGGUAACAGGAUAUUAGAUACAGUUGUCCCGUAUUGCUUCUUGAAACCCUUGAGGCCUAAUUUAGAUAUCUGACUCCCUGACACAGAGAACAUGAUGUGUAGAAGAAAGUUUAAACAUCAAAUUCUUUAGAUUGGUUAAGACCACAUACACAGAAAAUAUUAAGUAACGUGGUGAACUGAAAAAUAUAUUCUGGGGCUAAUCUAAGAGGCUGUGGAGUAAGGACAUCUUGGUAACUAAGUCUAUUUCUAAUUUGGCAGUUCUAAGUUUAAGCGAGUACUAGGAAUACUGGGGGAUAAAUGAGGACCAUUUGUUCCUGAGAGCACUGCCCUGUGGUCAACCAGUCUGUGUUCACAAUGUUUAUUGUAUUACACCAAGACCUGUAAGGUGUACCUGCCUAAAAUAAGAUGGCUCCCAGUAGAUGCAAUGAAUAUCUGCAGCCAUCUGUAUAUAAGCCUGGCCACAGAAGGAAGACUUUGAGCUUUCUCAAAAGAUCUGAUAUGGUUGUCGUUCACUUAGACUUAUCAUUUGCAAUUGUGUGUUUACUUCUGAGGGCUUUAUAGGGUGCCUAUGAAUUUAAUCCUCUGUCUAUCACUUAAAAUAGUGUGGAUUUUCCUGCUUUAUAUCCCAACUAGCUGGCUUCUUCUUGCAUCCUUUAAAUAAGCAAACAUACUUGAUUUACCUCAGUCAUGCAUGUCUGGUCUCCGUCAGUGUAAAGCUCUUAUUUACAUUAGUAGAAUACCUUGAUACUAAGGUCUUAUUAUUUCAGUUGAUUCACUCAACUCCUAGAAAUGGAACAAAAUAUCUGUUUUGAUUCCCAUUUUAGAUUGAGGAAACUCUGCCAUAGUUGAUUAAGAAAAUUAUCUGAAGUCUUCAUGCAGGUAAGAGACAGAUUAGAGAUGUAAGAGAAUGUGUUAUAAUUCAACUCCAGCACAUUUUUUAUUAUAUCUCAUUGUCAUACAACAUAACUUCCAAAUUUAGAAUUUAGUUUAUGGCAUUGUUAUAAAGAUCACAAGAACUGAUACACAUGAAAGUGGUUUUUGCACAUAAGACUAUUCAAGACUCUGGUUCAUAGAAAGUCUCUUGCCCUUGCCUCCAGCCCCUAAUAAAUAGUUUUGCGAUAAAAUAAAAAAAAAAAAACUUCCUAUUAAGGUCAACGUUAUUAUUUUCAAAAUAUCGAAAUUAAAAUAUGACAAUGACCUUUAAUCUAAAUAAUUAUGUGGUGUGGCCGGGUACGGUGGCUCACGCCUGUAAUUCCAACACUUUGGGAGGCCAAGGCAGGUGGAUCACUUGAGGUCAGGAGUUUGAGACAGGCCUGGCUAACAUGGAGAAACCCUGUCUCUACCGAAAACACAAAAAAGCCAGGCAUGGUGGUGUGUGCCUGUAGUAGUAGCUACUUGGGAGGCUGAGGCUGGAGAAUCACCUGAACCUGGGAGGCAGAGGUUGCAGUGAGCCGAGAUUGCACCACUGCAGUCCAAACUGGGUGACAGAGUGAGACUCUGUCUCAAUAAAUAAAUAAAUAAGUAAAUAAAUAAAUAAAUAAAUAAAUAAAUAAAAUAAAAAUAUAUAUGUAUGUGGCGGGACCUGGGCAAUGGGUGUUUUGAGAGAAGUACAUAUAAUUGAAGAAAACAGGAAAACAAGAUAAUGAUGAUAUAAUAAAUAUUAAUUUUGGCUUAAGACCAGUACAUUUAAAGGUAAAAUUGAAUAAGGCAAAAAUAAAUUCUAUCAAAAAUAAGCUUAUCCUGGAAAGUCCUGUUUAGAAAGAGCCAGCUGAUCUGGAUUAAUCUAAUAAAUGCUGAAUCCAAAGAAAUGUACCUGAAUACAGAAUUGUGUAGAUUGAGAACUAAGGAAAAUAUACUAUCUUCUUUCAGAAAACCUUCUGAAUAAAUAUUCCCAAGAAAAGUUACUUGAGUCUAUCCUUUUCUAUUGGCUAUCUUUAAAGCACCCUUUCCCAAGUCAAGGUAAUAAAUAAAAACUGUGCUUAUAUUACUAUUAAUUUGGCUUCUUGUAUUUUAAAACCUUUAUUUCAUUCAGUAAAUCUAAAUGUGAUUUUUAUUCUUGAGUGAUGUAUUAAAAUCGUACCUUGGCACUGCAUGUCUCCAUAACUACAUGCAUAAAUAAGGAAACAUUAGUUGAUCUCAACCUCGAAGUCGAUGUAUCCCUGCACUUCAAAAUUUGAAAACUGAUACAUUUCUCAUUGUAUGUGCCAGCUUGAGACAGAUUUUCCAUUAGAUAAAGCUGCAUAUAGCCUAGUUGGUCUACAGUUUUUUCCCAAAUGAAUAAUCAUUAUGUCCCAAAGCAAGUGGUGCAGUCUAGACAGGAAGAGGCAAGUACCUGGAACUGUGAACCGGCUCUAGGUAGAAAGAGUCAAUGACACCUGAUGAGUUGAAGUAAAACUCAGUAGGAAGAAUACAGACAACAGAUGGUAAUGCAGGAAAACAUUUGGCCUCCUGACUGCCCAACACAAUGUAAUGAAGGUGCCUCUACAGGCAGUACUCUGAAACUCAGUGGAGCAGAUGAUAAAUCUGUCACAAUUUUCCAUCCCAGUUACAGAGCCAGCAUUCAGGAAGAAUUAGCCAAUUCUUAGAAGGAGAGACAAAUAAGAGCAAAACAGAAAUCCAGCCUUAGAAGACUCUGGUACUAAUUAGAUAGCAAAAGCAGGAGUUUGGACACUCAAAAUAACGGAAAGAGGAUGUGGAAGGAGAACUUAGUCCGAGUAAAGGUCACAAGAGAUGUAAAACUGGAGACAGAGUUGGAAUUAGUGUAGUGGAAAGACUAACUUACUCCUGAGUCUCCUGAUUGUUGGAGCAUCUUAAAUCCCUCUUAACUAAAGUCAGGCUUGGUCCUAAGCCUGGAACAAGACAUGGGAAUUAUGUUGAUGAAGUAAUGUGUCUCUCAAUAGAAAGAACAUGAAUAUAUUUGGCAACUGAGGAGCCAGUAGGUCCUAAAAUGAUGACAUAGUCAUUUGGAUUAACUCCUGAUUUCUUAAUAGCCACUUGACUUUAACAAGUAUAAACUGGGAACUUACUCCAGCUCUUAGGUAAGUGAGUUUUGCUUGGCUAGACUUUUCACAAGCAUGUUUAGUUAAUAUUAACAGUAUUACAACUUAAUGUCGCAGCUGAUCUCUAGAAGUCAUUGGUCUAGAGAAAUCUUAAAAUUUAAAAAGGAAAUUGAAUCCUGAAAGAGGUGCUCAAGAGAAAAUGAGGAAUAAUAUAUAAAUGAGGACACACAUCAUUUCUUCAAUUUUUCCUACAUUUGUUGAGUUCCUACCUAACAUAGCAGGAUCGAGCAACUAAAAUCACUAACACAA